CAGUCGAGCGGACAGAUGGGAGCUUGCUCCCUGAUGUUAGCGGCGGACGGGUGAGUAACACGUGGGUAACCUGCCUGUAAGACUGGGAUAACUCCGGGAAACCGGGGCUAAUACCGGAUGCUUGUUUGAACCGCAUGGUUCAAACAUAAAAGGUGGCUUCGGCUACCACUUACAGAUGGACCCGCGGCGCAUUAGCUAGUUGGUGAGGUAACGGCUCACCAAGGCAACGAUGCGUAGCCGACCUGAGAGGGUGAUCGGCCACACUGGGACUGAGACACGGCCCAGACUCCUACGGGAGGCAGCAGUAGGGAAUCUUCCGCAAUGGACGAAAGUCUGACGGAGCAACGCCGCGUGAGUGAUGAAGGUUUUCGGAUCGUAAAGCUCUGUUGUUAGGGAAGAACAAGUACCGUUCGAAUAGGGCGGUACCUUGACGGUACCUAACCAGAAAGCCACGGCUAACUACGUGCCAGCAGCCGCGGUAAUACGUAGGUGGCAAGCGUUGUCCGGAAUUAUUGGGCGUAAAGGGCUCGCAGGCGGUUUCUUAAGUCUGAUGUGAAAGCCCCCGGCUCAACCGGGGAGGGUCAUUGGAAACUGGGGAACUUGAGUGCAGAAGAGGAGAGUGGAAUUCCACGUGUAGCGGUGAAAUGCGUAGAGAUGUGGAGGAACACCAGUGGCGAAGGCGACUCUCUGGUCUGUAACUGACGCUGAGGAGCGAAAGCGUGGGGAGCGAACAGGAUUAGAUACCCUGGUAGUCCACGCCGUAAACGAUGAGUGCUAAGUGUUAGGGGGUUUCCGCCCCUUAGUGCUGCAGCUAACGCAUUAAGCACUCCGCCUGGGGAGUACGGUCGCAAGACUGAAACUCAAAGGAAUUGACGGGGGCCCGCACAAGCGGUGGGAGCAUGUGGUUUUAAUUCGAAAGCAACGCGAAAAAACCUUUACCAGGGCCUUGGACAUCCUUCUGACAAAUCCUAAAAGAAAAGAACGUCCCCCUUCCGGGGGCAAAAUUG
rnacentral:rRNA from 1 species